CCUGUAUCGAAAUUUCGGUGUCUUUAGACCGUUUAAAAUACAAUCUGACUUCAGAAGGGCGGCUGCAGUCUUUAGAGAAUUAAUUCACUUAAACCCGAGCACCUCCUUGCUCGGAGCACUAGUUUCGAGGAGGGAUGUGGUUAUCAUGCGCAAGAAGUAGAGAUUUUUUUUUUCGUGACUCUUCCUAGCGCAAUCUUUUUUACUCUCAACGGCAAACCGAAGAAUCUCGGCCUCCUCGGACGCAGAACUCUUCUCCCAUAUCUCCCUGGGGGUCAAGUUGGAGCGAAUAACUUCAAAACGUUUGAGAAGAAGAGGAACAGCAACAACACAGCCUUUCUCACUUGGAAAGAAACUCUUGCUGAAGCCUUGUCGUUUUAAGGAACGCCUUAUCCCGCCCCCAUUGUAUCCAGCCUGGAGUUCCCGCUCUCUGGUCGGCACCGGGAGAGCGAUUCCGAAGGUGCACCGGGACCUUCGCUCCGUUGUUGGGCGAUCUUAUCUGCGGGCCUAGAGGCCCACUUGCCCUUGGUUCCCUGAAGCUCUGGGGGCACCCAACAAUUACCACUGCCCUGGGAUAGUCCCAUCUUGCGUGACCCUGCGGGGAAUUGGGGGUGGAAGAGCGUGGACUACUGACUUUGCUCCGAACGGCCGGGGACCCAACCUGGAAAGGACCGAGGCCCCAGGCGGCUGGGGCGCGCCAGAGCGCACAGCCACAGGGACAGAAAGCGUGACGCGCGCGGGGAGCCAGGUCCAGUCCCGCAGCUCCAGGUCUCGGAACUUGGCGGCCUCGCCCUGCAGAGACGCAGGCUUCCAUCUGAUGCAAGAUGAGUCCCAGGCAAAACUGCAAGAAAGCUGACAUUUGUCUUUGAUGCCACACUUGUCUUUACCACUAAACAGACUCCUCUGCUUAAAAGCACAUGCAAAAAUGUCUGAAAGAUUUUUUUUUCUUUAUAAGAUACACACAUAGGAAAAGCCUGGAAGAGAGUCUCCAAAAUGAUAGCAUUUAUCAGGUGGUAAAAUUAUGGAUUUUUUAUUUCCCUCUUAAACACUACCUGUUCUUUUGUAUUUAUCAAUAAAAAUGUUAAUUCACAAGUGCCACCCAUUUGGUGGAGAAUUCACUUUGCAAUAUAGAACUGGGAGGUAGAGAUCAAGAUUUAGAUUGUACACAUUUACUUCUGGGGAGGCAGCUUUGCCCAGAAGUGAGGCAUGUGAGACACAGGUAGAUCUGGGUUGGAGUCCUAAUUCUUCCACAUAUAAGCUGGUUGACCCUGGGCAAGAGACUCAGUGUCUUCAGAUGUAAAACAGGGAAACUAAAUAACUUUUAACUCAUAGUGUUUCUGGAGAAUUACAUCACAGGGGCACACAAACUACUUUGGCUGGUAUCUGGCACACAAUGGGCCCUCAGUAAACACAGUUGUUAUUUUUAGAGCUCAAACAUUCUUUAAUUCAACCUUCAAAGCAAAUAUCAAAUCUACUAUCAGGGACAGCAGGAGUGGUCAUGGACCUGACUUCUGAAUAUGGCAAUUAUAGAACGUGUUUCCAUUUGCAAACCUCCAAUUUGGGUGAAAACUCAUUAGUGACAAUUAUAUAGACAAACAGUAUUGGUAAUACAGGAUGUUAAAGCAAAGAGUAAGAAAAGCAGCUUUUCAAAUUUAUUUACAUAUUACUUAAGGGGCACUUAGUUUUUUCCAGGCCCUCUAGAGAUGGGUCUCUGUCCCUAAGAAUUGAUAGUGUACCUGGAAGAAAAGAAAUGAAUCUGAGUAGCUAGAAAAAGAGACAGAAUAGAUAAAUACCUUGGAAGGCUAAAGAAGGAGGCUUCUAUGGAGGACAGCCAGG
ensembl:lncRNA